rnacentral:rRNA from 1 species
GCAAGCCUGAUGCAGCCAUGCCGCGUGUAUGAAGAAGGCCUUCGGGUUGUAAAGUACUUUCAGCAGUGAGGAAGGUGGAUAUGUUAAUAGCAUAUUCAUUUGACGUUAGCUGCAGAAGAAGCACCGGCUAACUCCGUGCCAGCAGCCGCGGUAAUACGGAGGGUGCGAGCGUUAAUCGGAAUUACUGGGCGUAAAGCGCAUGCAGGUGGUUUGUUAAGUCAGAUGUGAAAGCCCGGGGCUCAACCUCGGAAUUGCAUUUGAAACUGGCAAACUAGAGUACUGUAGAGGGGGUAGAAUUUCAGGUGUAGCGGUGAAAUGCGUAGAGAUCUGAAGGAAUACCGGUGGCGAAGGCGGCCCCCUGGACAGAUACUGACACUCAGAUGCGAAAGCGUGGGGAGCAAACAGGAUUAGAUACCCUGGUAG